rnacentral:rRNA from 1 species
AUGUCUAUUUUAGUUGAUAAAGAAGACUUACAAUUGUGUGAAACUUUGAACAAUGAACAACAGCUUGCUUUUGAUGACAUAAUGAACCAUGUUACACAAAAGAAGGGUAAGGUCUUCUUCAUUGAUGGUCCAGGAGGCACACGGAAGACAUACCUUUAUAAAGCCUUGCUGGCUAAAGUGCGGUCCAUGGGACUAAUAGCCAUCACAACAGCAACAUCAGGCAUCGCGGCUUCUAUUAUGCCCGGUGGCAGGACUGCCCAUUCCAGAUUUAAAAUACCAAUAAAUAUUCAAGAAGACACUAUGUGCAACUUCACUAAGCAAAGUGGAACAGCAGAAUUACUUCAAAGAUCAUCUUUGAUAAUUUGGGAUGAAGUUGCCAUGACAAAACGACAAGCCGUUGAGGCACUUGAUAGAACUCUUCAAGAUAUUACAGGUUGUGCAUCACCAUUUGGAGGAAAGACAAUAGUGUUUUGGGGUGAUUUCAGGCAAGUCCUCCCUGUGGUGAGGCGUGGCACCAGAGCACAAAUUGUUAAUGCCACACUUAAAAAAUCUUAUCUCUGGGAGGAUAUGAUACAAAUAAAACUCAAACACAAUAUGAGAGCAAAAUCUGAUUCAUGGUUCUCUGAUUUUCUUUUGAGAAUUGGAAAUGGUACUGAAGAAUCAAUUGGUGAAGACUAUGUGCGGCUGCCUGAAGAGAUAGUUAUAGGUUACACAAAUUCAAAAGCGGCUGUUACUAAGUUGAUCAAUGAUGUAUUUCCAUCGCUUAAUGAGAAUGGUACAUCACCAUAUUACAUAAGUUCCCGUGCCAUUCUUUCCACUAAAAAUGAAUAUGUGGAUGAACUAAAUGCAAUGCUUAUAGACCAAUUUCCUGGAGAAGAAAAAAUAUACUACAGUUUUGACUCAGCAGUGGAUGAUACACACAAUCACUACCCACCUGAAUACCUAAAUUCUCUCACACCUAAUGGCCUACCUCCACAUGUUCUUAGAUUGAAGAUCAAUUGUCCGGUCAUCUUGCUUCGAAAUUUAGAUCCAUCUAAUGGGCUAUGCAAUGGCACGAGGCUCAUUAUUAGGGCAUUUCAAGAUAAUGUUAUUGAUGCAGAGAUUAUUGGAGGACAACAUUCUGGAAAACAAAAUUUUCUUCCAUGA